rnacentral:misc_RNA from 1 species
UUUCGUCCAGAGGCACAAGAGGUAAAUUUCUAAACCCUAGAGUCGAUCUUUGUUUUUUGUUAUGAUUUGUACGUCUAUUUUAUGAUUUUACCUGAAAUUAAUGUGGGAAUUAGGGUUAAGGGCCGGAGAGGGGCUUAAGUAUUCAUGCUUAUAGCUAAGCAUGCGUAGAUUUUUAAAUUGUAGAAAUUUUAUAAUCAACAUGAUUCCUUUCCUGUAAUAUAUUGUUUUGUGCUUCUUUUUGAUGUAAGUGGAACCGAUGUUUGCUCAAUGUCUCACAGCCUGAUGUACUUUUGGAUCCAAAAUUAUAAUUGUAAUAUGAUUCUGUGGUUAUAAUGUGUUGCAAUGAUCUGGAGUCAGGCAUAAGCGUACUGCAAUACGCAGUCCUAACCAUGUUUUUGUUGGGGAUUUUGAAGAGACUAGUCAUGAAGAAUGGGAGCAUAAUGGUUGCCAUCUUACGUAGUUGCACCUUGUGCACAAUUGAAAUUGGACGGUUAAUGCAGCCAUGAUAAAAGAGAUGAUUUUUAGCCAUUGGUACUUGGUAUUAGGAUUUGUACAACUGCCUGGGUUGAAUAUGCUUUCAUUCUUGGUGGGACUUAUGAAUAGCCAGGGAGCAGUGAGGGAGCCUGAGACUAAUGAUUUUAAUGAUCUUUUUCUUUCUGUGUUUCAGUUGUGGCCAUGUCUGCAUGAGUAUCCAUAUAAAAUUCUAUCCUUAAAUUGGUGCAAUCAUAUGAGUUGCGUAUUACAAAUUGUUUAAUUAAAUGUUCUUUGAAAUUGUUGUGAUUAUGUGUCUAUGUUGAACUAUUUAAAUGGACUUUUUUUUUAAUUUUCAUUAUUUGCUGCUUUUGGGACCUGGUAAAUGCCAUUAUUAUUAUCUGUUCUAUUGUAUUAGUCAAGUUGGAUUAAUUUUUCUGGGAAGUGCAGUAGUUCAUAUUCUCAGUGAUCGUGGGUUAUGUAAUUGGCAGAUUUACACAACUUGGUUUAUGACAUUGGUCUAUGGUUUAUAUGUCUUGCAGGUGAAUUGGAAACCCAAUAAAG